GACAGAGGGUGCAAACGUUGUUCGGAAUUACUGGGCGUAAAGCGAGUGUAGGCGGUCUCAUAAGUCGGGUGUGAAAGCCCUGGGCUCAACCCAGGAAGUGCACUCGAAACUGCGAGGCUAGAGUAUCGGAGAGGUUGGUGGAAUUCUCGGUGUAGAGGUGAAAUUCGUAGAUAUCGAGAGGAACACCGGUGGCGAAGGCGGCCAACUGGACGAAUACUGACGCUGAGACUCGUAAGCGUGGGGAGCAAACAGG
rnacentral:rRNA from 1 species